AUUGAACGCUGGCGGCAGGCCUAACACAUGCAAGUCGAGCUAGCGGCGGACGGGUGAGUAAUGCAUGGGACUGCCCGAUAGAGCGGGAAAACUUCUGGAAACGGUAGCUAAUACUGCAUACUAUCGGAUAACCCAUAUGGGAUUGGCUAGUAGGUGCGGUAAUGGCUCCCCUAGGCGACGAUCCCUAGCUGGUCGGAGAGGAUGAUCAGCCACACGGGGACUGCGACACGGCCCAGACUCCUACGGAGGCAGCAGUGGGGAAUCUUGCACAAUGGGCGCAAGCCUGAUGCAGCCAUGCCGCGUGUAUGAAGAAGGCCCUGGGGUUUUAAAGUACUUUCAGUCGGGAGGCGUUACCGACAGAAGAGGCACCGGCUAACUCCGUGCCAGCAGCCGCGGUAAUUC
rnacentral:rRNA from 1 species